AAAAACAAAGAAAUAUAGAUUUCUCCAUUGUUUUCAUUAAAUUUCUCAUCAAAAUGCUGUUUACACUUUUUAUGCAUGUUACUUUUCAAUAGUUCUGAAAAUCCUUGCUAGAAACGCAGGAUCUGAGACUUCGUUGCUAUAAGCUGAGGAACUUCCCAUCACCAGAAUAUGUACAGUCGUAAUUUGUGUUUGCUGAGUAAUUCAUAGAAUUGAGCUUAAAUUUGCACGUUUUUUUACUUUUUUUUAUUAAUUUAUGUAAUUAAUUGAUGUGAAAAUUAGCAACUUGUCUAAAUCAUUGAGUGCUUAUAUUAUUCAAUACCUAGGCUUAAUUUUGUGUGAUUCAAUAGGCUUUUUUUCCGUAUCAUGCUGUUUAACUUCGCUUGGGUACGUGUUAGAUCGAUUGAGAAGGGUGCUGGUCCUGAUUUGCUGGUAUAUAUUCGAGAAAUCAGCUUCUGCGAACAAAUAGCUUCUAACUGUUUCAGCUGUACAGGCCGUCAUCCUGCAGCCACUGGGUAACAAGGGAAUUGCAGUUAUAUGAGGUGAUACAAUAAGGGGGUUUUCCACUGCUGACCAGGAUCGCAUAACGCUCCUUCUCCGUGAUUACCGGCAACUGCAAGGUGCCCAAUAAUAUGAUCGAAUUUUGACCUGGGUAGUUAAGGACGACCAGCCUGUAUCAUACCGGACAGCCACAGCAAAGCCUGUAUACCAAUGGAUAAUCAAGCCUCAGAGUGUCGCCAAAACUAAUGAGAUGUUUCUUCCUGGGCGAAUGUCAUUUAUUUAUGACAUGGUUGGAUGCAAAGCUCUUUGUGUUGACUGGUAGAUUGAUUAAUUCUUGAAUGAGCCCUAUGAAAGCGUGAUCCAAUGUAACAACUUUGACGGAUCCGAAACAUGAUAUUGUUUCAUGGAGCACAAUUAUCACAGGAUAUGGAAGUCAUGGAAAAGGGGAGAUAGAUGGCUUUAAAGCUGUAUUCGGAUUUUCUAAUUUCAUGGAAUCAACCAAAUCGUGUCAUUUUCCUUUCUGUUCUCUUCUCUUGUAGCCACAAUGGGAUGGUUUCUGAAGGUCUGAGCUUAUUCAAUUCUAUGACUCGGGAUUUUGGAAUUAAACCAGAACUUGAGCAUCGAGCUUGCAUCGUUGAUCUGCUCUGUCGAGCUGGAAAGAUUGGGGAGGCAUAUGAAUUCAUUUGGAAAAUGUUCUUUAACCCUACAACUGAUGUUUUGGGCAUACUUCUCGAUGCAUGUCGGAUGAAGGGUGAUGCUAAACUUGGAGAAAUUGUUGCAAGAGAUAUGAUGAUGCUGAAACCUGCAUGUGCUGGAAAUUAUGUACAACUAGCUCAUAGUUUUGCUGCUAUGAAUAGAUGGGAGGGGGUGAAUGAUGCAUGGACUCAAAUGAAGGCUCUUGGACUUAAAAAACUCCCAGGUUGGAGUCUGAGUUAAUUUGGUGACAGCAGUCUGAGUCAUUCAGUCAUCCUGAAGAUUCAUCUUCCAGCUGCUGUCUGGUACUGCAGACCUGUGUGCCAAUUACCAAGGUCUGGGGUAAAUUUCCCAAUCAAAGUAACAAUAAUUGAACAUAUAGUUGGUUAACUUGUGCAAAUAUAUAGGGAAGAUUUUAUUGUAGAAGUGAUUCUUUGACAGUAAAUCGGUUCACAUUAGAGAUGGGAAGUAUGUAUCUUAUCUAUGUUCUACCAUUCCAUUCACGUUUAUGUGUUGACAUAUUGAUGGUUAACUUGUGCACAGAUCGAUGCAGGUGUGAUUGUAUAGCUUCUACGGGUGAUUCUUUCAUCCGUAAUUUCUUCUACAGAUCAACCAUUUCUGCAGGUGUAUGUUCGAGUGUCACAAGUACGUAACUGGGAGGAAAGUCAUGCAGGAGACAAUUGUGAAAUGAUCUUCAUGUGAUGUAAGUAUCCAUCAUUCCAUCAUGAUCCUGUAAGUUAGUGAUUAAUAGAGUAUAUAUUCAAGUAAUUAUCCUUGUUUCUUGCGAGUAGUUAUAUAGCAUCAGAAUUCUGUCAUCUUGAAAGUAAUUUCUGGUAGUGAAAAUAUUUGCACAGCUACAAGUAUAAUAAGUUUGCAAACAUAUUUAGGCUAAACUUUCGACUGCCAGAUUAAUUAUAGAUAUAUUUAGGCUAAACUUUCGACUGCCAGAUUAAUUAUAGAUUUAUUUCAAGUGAAAUCAUGGCAGUUAUCAGAUUAGCUUAAGUUAUUGUUCUUGGUUAUUUUUACCUCAAUAAAAUACCUCAAAGCAUCAACUAAGUCGCUAUACAACCUGACAAUCUUUGCAAAGCUUAACAGUUUUGGUAAUAAUUAGGCUUUGACCAUGACAGUGGGAGGAAUGCUGAAUGAAGCUAUUAAUAAUUUUAAAUGACACUAAAUAUGGCUUAAUAGAGCUUUCAAAUGACACUAAAUAUGGCUUAACCAUGGUCAUUAAAAUUCCACCUAAAAAGGAUUAGGCUCCAAAUUCGAUCGUGAGCUCAGACGACAACAAAGUACCAAAUUACCAUCAUAAUGUGUAAGCCAAUUCUAGCGUUGAAUUUUAAAAUAGAGAGCUAGGCCACUGGUAAACUCUUGAGCACCUGUCUUUUGGUUGUGUCUACGGCAAGGCUGCUUUAGACCAGAUUAAGCAGUGGCUGGGGAUAAGAACUUCAAAAAUUGAUCUGUUAUACCUGCUGAAAUGGCUACAGAAGGACUACAAAGGCUCUAGAUUCCAGAAAAGGGUGCAGUAAACUGCUGUUCCUGCUUUAGUAAUACCAAUAUGGAGAGUUAGAAGUGAUGCAAUUUGGAAUUUUAAAGUUAUACAUACUGAUUCUUUUGUAAAAGUUGUAAAGGAUACCAUAAAGAGCAGGAUAGGAAGAAUCAUAGGGAACUAAGUGUAAAUAUCACAGAUCUCUAGCUGCGAUAUCUAGACUUUUCUUUUUUUAAUAAUGUUCAUGUAUGAUUGAAUUCGCUGAACUAUAAUUUAUCUCAUUAUUCAAA